rnacentral:rRNA from 1 species
AUUGAACGCUGGCGGCAUGCUUUACACAUGCAAGUCGAACGGCAGCGCGGGGCAACCUGGCGGCGAGUGGCGAACGGGUGAGUAAUACAUCGGAACGUACCCAGAAGUGGGGGAUAACGUAGCGAAAGUUACGCUAAUACCGCAUACGUUCUACGGAAGAAAGUGGGGGACCUUCGGGCCUCAUGCUUUUGGAGCGGCCGAUGUCUGAUUAGCGAGUUGGUGAGGUAAAGGCUCACCAAGGCGACGAUCAGUAGCUGGUCAGAGAGGACGACCAGCCACACUGGGACUGAGACACGGCCCAGACGCCUACGGGAGGCAGCAGUGGGGAAUGUUGGACAAUGGGCGCAAGCCUGAUCCAGCAAUGCCGCGUGGGUGAAGAAGGCCUUCGGGUUGUAAAGCUCUUUUGUCAGGGAAGAAACGGCUGGGGUUAAUACCUUCGGCUAAUGACGGUACCUGAAGAAUAAGCACCGGCUAACUACGUGCCAGCCGCCGCCGUAAGAC